GCCGGAUAACGUCCGGUGGAGGCGACUCCAAGGAAAGUGCAACAGAAACAGACCGCAGAGCGAUCUGCAAGGAUGGAAAGGGGAGGUAAGAGCUCACCGACAUUGCGGUAACGCAAUGUGCCGUGCAAACCCCGUUCGGUGCAAGAUUGGGCCAAUGCCGCAUAGGGCUGCUCGCCCGGCAUUUGCCGUGAAUAUCGCUUGAACGCACCGGCGACGGUGCGGCCAGAUAGAUGACCGUACACGACAGAACUCGGCUUACAGAUCGGACUCGGAA
rnacentral:RNase_P_RNA from 1 species